AGGCCAGUGAUGUGGCACCUGCAGGUUCAUUUCCUAAUCUGUGUCUGUGCUGCAGGUUUGAGGUGACUCUCAAAUGAGAUCCUAAUAAUAGCACCUGAUACUUAACUGAGGCCU